UGGAGUAUAGCCAAGUGGAAAGGCAUCGGUUUUUGGUACCGUGAUCAGAGGUUCGAAUCCUUUUACUCCAG
rfam:Klebsormidium nitens mitochondrial DNA, scaffold: kfl01814, whole genome shotgun sequence.